GAUGAACGCUAGCUACAGGCUUAACACAUGCAAGUCGAGGGGUCUGCUUCGGCAGACGACCGGCGCACGGGUGAGUAACGCGUAUCCAACCUGCCCUUCUCAUUGGGAUAGCCUUUCGAAAGAGAGAUUAAUACCGAAUAACAUAGUAACGUUGCAUGAUUUUACUAUGAAAGCUCCGGCGGAGAAGGAUGGGGAUGCGUGACAUUAGGUAGAUGGCGGGGUAACGGCCCACCAUGCCCACGAUGUCUAGGGGUUCUGAGAGGAAGGUCCCCCACAUUGGGACUGAGAUACGGCCCAGACUCCUACGGGAGGCAGCAGUGGGGAAUAUUGGGCAAUGGGGGAAACCCUGACCCAGCAACGCCGCGUGAAGGAAGAAGGCCUUCGGGUUGUAAACUUCUUUUAGCAGGGACGAAGGACGUGACGGUACCUGCAGAAAAAGCAACGGCUAACUACGUG
rnacentral:rRNA from 1 species